rnacentral:tRNA from 1 species
UCCCUCGUGGCUCAGUGGUAAAAGAAUCUGCCUGCAAUACAGGAGACCCAGGUUCAAUCCCUGGAUUGGGAA